rnacentral:rRNA from 1 species
GACCUCAGAUCAGGUAGGGCUACCGCCUGAACUUAAGCAUAUCAAUAAGGCGAGGAACAGAAACCAACAGGGAUUCCCCUAGUAGUGGCGAAUGAAGCGGGAAAAGCUCAAGUUUGAAAUCUGAAGUUUACUUCAGAGUUGUAAGCUGAAGAGGUGUCGACCGACCUGGUCCGGGCCCAAUUUCCUUGGAACAGGAGGUCAUGGAGGGUGAGAACCCCGUCUGUGGCUCGGGUGCUGUGGUCCUUGUGUCGUGCCCUCGAAGAGUCGGGUUGUUUGGGAAUGCAGCUCAAAAUGGGUGGUAAAUUUCAUCUAAGGCUAAAUAUUGGCGAGAGACCGAUAGCAAACAAGUAGAGUGAUCGAAAGAUGAAAAGUACUUUGAAAAGAGAGUGAAACAGUACGUGAAAUUGUUGAAAGGGAAGCGU